GCUCCGGUGGCCUAGUGGUUAAGGCGUCCGCCUCAGAUGCGGAAGGUCGUGGGCUCGAUCCCCGGUCGAGUCA